AUUUUGUACUCCAUUGAGCUGCGAUCAUUUCAAUUUCUUCAAUCGUCAAAGAAUAUACUAUAGUAUGAUCACUUAAACUUCUGAAUCUGAAGGCUCUGUGGACAAGGACGGGUCUGUGCCAUAAUUCCAAAGGCUCUUCAGCUCACCUCUUACACAUCCCAGUAUGAUAAAGACACCUUGUACAUGGAACAAGGUAGAGGAGUGCAGGUUGUCCAUUUCCGUCCAUCAGAUAUAG
rnacentral:lncRNA from 1 species